GGUCCCAUCCCGAACCCGGAAGUUAAGCCUCUCAGCGCCGAUGGUACUGCAGCGGGGACGCUGUGGGAGACUAGGACGCCGCCGGAC
rnacentral:rRNA from 1 species